rnacentral:rRNA from 1 species
UACGAAGGUGGCAAGCGUUGUCCGGAUUUACUGGGCGUAAAGAGCGCGCAGGCGGUCGUUCAAGUCGCGUGUGAAAGCCCCCGGCUCAACUGGGGAGGGUCACGCGAUACUGAUCGACUCGAAGGCAGGAGAGGGUAGUGGAAUUCCCGGUGUAGUGGUGAAAUGCGUAGAUAUCGGGAGGAACAUCGGUGGCGAAGGCGGGUCUCUGGGCCGAUACUGACGCUGAGGAGCGAAAGCGUGGGGGGCGAACAGG